CGGUGGCCACGGUUUCCAGGAAAGAAGAGAGAGGCGGAAAAGUUAACUUUCCGCCACCCACACAAAUAUUUUUGGCCGGCGUUGUCUUCACGCUGCCAAGCCAGGAGGGAGGAGUUGGCAGGAGCACUCCAAUUCAAGGUUCCCUCCCAAGGAGGAAGGAGGACUCCCAACCCAGUCGGGGAGCCUGGGCAGGCCCUAUGCAAGCCUAAGCCCCGCAGCACCCACCUCUGUGCAGGAGCUGUGGGGGUCGGGACCCGAAACAAUAAUAGCGGCUGCCACUAACUGAGCACCUGCUAGGUGCUGAACCCAGCCCUUUACCUGACAAGAUUCAUGACCCUCAUCUGGACACAAGCUUUAAAAUACUUGAGCCUUGGCAGAAAUGGCUGAUAGAGUCCACAGAACAGCCUAACCAGCCUAAAGAAACCACGGGAGGAGAGGCUCUUACCCUCUCCCUUGCAGAUGUGGGCCCGGCUGCCUCACACUCCAGAGCA
rnacentral:lncRNA from 1 species